UACGGGGGGGGCAAGCGUUGUUCGGAAUUACUGGGCGUAAAGGGCUCGUAGGCGGUCAACUAAGUCGGACGUGAAAUCCCCAGGCUCAACCUGGGAACUGCGUCCGAUACUGGAUGGCUUGAAUUCGGGAGAGGGAUGCAGAAUUCCAGGUGUAGCGGUGAAAUGCGUAGAUAUCUGGAGGAAUACCGGUGGCGAAGGCGGCAUCCUGGACCGACAUUGACGCUGAGGAGCGAAAGCUAGGGGAGCAAACGGG
rnacentral:rRNA from 1 species